UACGUAGGGUGCGAGCGUUGUCCGGAAUUAUUGGGCGUAAAGGGCUCGUAGGCGGUUUGUCGCGUCGGGAGUGAAAACCAUGGGCUUAACUCAUGGCUUGCUUCCGAUACGGGCAGACUAGAGGUAUGCAGGGGAGAACGGAAUUCCUGGUGUAGCGGUGAAAUGCGCAGAUAUCAGGAGGAACACCGGUGGCGAAGGCGGCUCUCUGGGACGGUACUGACGCUGAGACGCGAAAGCGUGGGGAGCGAACAGG
rnacentral:rRNA from 1 species